GCGCGAGUAGCUCAAUGGCAGAGCGGUUGUCUUAUACACAACUGGUUGUAGGUUCGAAUCCUACCUCGCGCA
rnacentral:tRNA from 1 species